UGUGGUCAAAAAUAGACAUUUUUUUGUUAUAUUUAAUUAUUGUAUUACAAAAAAUAUAUAAUUAUUUAUUAUAUUUAUUUGUAGUAAUUGAUAUUUUGAUAAUAAAGAUUUUUUAUUGAAGUUAGAAAAAGUCUACUGGGCUUAAUUUUAGUUACAAAUGUUCAAAUGUGCCAUGCUGUGCUGUGCUCACUUAGACAAUUUUAAUCGAAAAUACCAUAGAGAGUGAUCAUAUUGAGUUUCUCAAUCCAUUUAUAAUGCUUUUCAAUAUAUACAAUAUGCAUAAUAAACAAUUGUAUAAAACAAAAGCAUUUUCCUGUUACAUAUUAAAAUCUAUUAAUACUAAUUGAAAAUAGUAGGAUAAUUGGAUUAACUUAAUACAAUUUGAAAUAUUAAACCUGUUGUAAUAAAACACGAGAAAAAAGGUUUAGAUCUAAAAUAUGAAAAUCUACUAAUAUCAAUUAAAAUUAGUAAGAUAAUUAAAUUAACUUCAUUAAGUAUUAUUGAAAAUAAAACUAAAAAUUAAGAUACUUAAAUAAACCUAGAAAAUCUUAAAAGUAGUAAUAUAUAAAGCAUGUAUAAUAAACAAUUGUAUAAAACAAAAGCAUUUUCCUGUUACAUAUUAAAAUCUAUUAAUACUAAUUGAAAAUAGUAGGAUAAUUGAAUUAACUUAAUACAAUUUGAAAUAUUAAACCUGUUGUAAUAAAACACGAGAAAAAAGGUUUAGAUCUAAAAUAUAAAAAUCUACUAAUAUCAAUUAAAAUUAGUAAGAUAAUUAAAUUAACUUCAUUAAGUAAUAUUGAAAAAUAAAACUAAAAAUUAAG